CACGGGGUUGCGAGCGUUGUCCGGAAUUACUAGGCGUAAAGGGCAGGCAGGCGGAUCCAUAAGUUUAUCGUUUAAGGCGUCGGCUUAACCGGCGUAGGGCGGUAGAUACUGUGGAUCUGGAAUGCGGUUGGGGAAGACAGAAUUCCUGGUGUAGUGGUGGAAUGCGCAGAGAUCAGGAGGAAUACCGAAGGCGAAGGCAGUCUUCCAAGCCGUUAUUGACGCUCAACUGCGAAGGUGUGGGUAUCAAACAGGAUUAGAUACCCUGGUAGUCCCUGA
rnacentral:rRNA from 1 species